UCUUCGCUAGUAUAUCGGUUAGUAUAACCGCCUCUCACGCGGUAGAGCAGGGUUCGACUCCCUGGCGGAGAA